CCUACGGGAGGCAGCAGUGAGGAAUAUUGGUCAAUGGGAGAAAUCCUGAACCAGCCAAGCAGCGUGCAGGAAGACGGCCCUAUGGGUUGUAAACCGCUUUUGUCCGAGAAUAAAGCCCCUUACGAGUCGCGCUUUGCAUGUAUCCGAAGAAAAAGCACCGGCUAAUUCCGUGCCAGCAGCCGCGGUAAUACGGAGGGUCCGGGCGUUAUCCGGAUUUAUUGGGUUUAAAGGGUGCGUAGGCCGGAUGUCAAGUGCGCGGUGAAAUGUCCGGGCUCAACCCCGGCCUAGCGGUGGGAACUGGCGGGCUUGAGUCCGCGGGAAGCAGGCGGAAUGCGUGGUGUAGCGGUGAAAUGCAUAGAUAUGGCGAAGAACUCCGAUUGCGAAGGCAGCGUGCCGGAGCCAAACUGACGCUGAGGCACGAAAGCGUGGGGAUCGAACAGGAUUAGAUACCCCAGUAGUC
rnacentral:rRNA from 1 species